rnacentral:lncRNA from 1 species
GGAAUGGAAUGUGCUACCCAGUUUGGAGUGACCACAUUGAACAAGUGUAUCUGCCUGGCAGCUGUCGCUUGUUUCCUGUGCAAAACAUCCCUGUGUGCUCAUGGAAGAGAAAAAUCUGUUUAUGGGCAAGGCUGCAGCCAGAAUAUAAAGAGACAAUCUUCUUAGGAGUAUUCCCAGCUUGGAGCACCAUGAGGCUCAGGUUUAGACACAGCACUGCAGCAACAAUGAAAAACAGCAGUAAAAGUCAGGUGCAGCCCUUUUUGGUUGAAACUGAGAACCUAAACCUCCAAAUCUCCUGGAGGAAAAGGAGACCGACAAGAUGUAAACAAGUAACUACUCCAUCU